AUGGACCAACUCGGAGUCGGAGUAGUCUCGGACAGUGUAGCGCAAUGGCUUGUGGCCUCGCUCCUCGCCGCCGUCGCCUUCUUCCUCCUCACGCUGGUCAGACAUGGCGGCAAGCAGGGUCGCCUCCCCCCGAGCCCCAUGGCACUUCCGUUCAUCGGCCACCUCCACCUCAUCCGCCCGCCUCCCCACCGCGCCUUCGACCGCAUCAUUAACCGCUACGGCCCGCUCGUGUACCUCCGCCUUGGCCCCUCCACCCACUGCGUCGUCAUCGGCUCUGCCGACGUCGCCCGCGACGUCCUCAAGUUCGAGGGCAGCAUCCCGGAGCGCCCGCUCACGGCGGUCACGCGGCACCUCGCCUACGACUCGGCCGGCUUCGCCUUCGCGCCCUACGGCCCGCACUGGCGCUUCAUGAAGCGCCUCUGCAUGUCGGAGCUGCUCGGCCCGCGCACCAUCGAGCAGCUGCGCCCCGUCCGCGCCGCCGAGCUCGCGGGCGUCAUGCGCGCGGCGGCGGAGGCGGCCGCCAAGGGCGAGACCGUGGACAUGAGCAGGCAGCUCAUCCGCAUGUCCAACAACGCCAUCAUGAGGAUGGUGGCGAGCGCGCUGCCCGGCGACAUGGCCGACACGGCUCGGGACUGCGCCAAGAAGGUGGCGGAGCUGGUGGGCGCGUUCAACUUGGAGGACUACGUGGCGCUGUGCCGCGGCUGGGACCUGCAGGGGCUCGACCGGAAGACGCGCGACGUGCGCGACAGGUUCGACGCGCUGCUCGAAUCCAUGAUCAGGACCAAGGAGAAGGAGCGGCGUGAGGAAGCAGACGAGACCAAGACCAAGGCCAAGGACUUGCUUGACAUUCUCAUGGACGCGGCGGCCGACCCGGCCGCCGAGGUCAAGCUCACCCGGGACAACAUCAAGGCGUUCAUCAUCGACAUCUUCACUGCCGGGUCGGACACGACAGCCACCACCGUGGAGUGGAUGCUGGCAGAUCUGCUCAACCACCCGGACUGCCUGCAGAAGCUGCGGGCGGAGCUGGAUGCCGUGGUGGGCAGGUCCCGGGUGGUGGGCGAGCCGGACGUGGCCCAGAUGCCAUACCUGCAGGCGGUGCUCAAGGAGACCCUGCGGCUGCGGCCGCCGGCGGUGUUCGCGCAGCGGGAGGCGAUCGAGCCCAUACACGUCCGUGGGUACACCAUCCCUGUCAAGACGUCGGUCUUCUUCAACAUCUUCUCCAUCGGGCGCGACGCGGCGUACUGGGAGGAGCCGCUCGAGUUCCGGCCGGAGCGGUUCAUGCCCGGCGGCGCCGGCGAGGCCGUGGACCCCAAGGGGCAGCACAUGCAGCUCAUGCCGUUCGGGAGCGGGCGGCGCGCCUGCCCCGGCAUGGGGCUGGCCAUGCAGGCCGUGCCGGCGUUCCUGGCCGCGCUGGUGCAGUGUUUCGACUGGGAGGUGCCAAAUCCGCCGCUGGACAUGGAGGAGGAGGCGGGGCUGGUCACCGCGAGGAAGCAGCCGCUCGUGCUCCUGCCCACGCAGCGCCUCCAUCCACUGCCCCUUCCUUAA
rnacentral:rRNA from 1 species